AAUUUCCCUUAAUAAUUAAAAAACCGUACCUAAAAACUACCACAAGUAAGCUAGUAGAGAAUACGAAGGCGUUUGAGCUAACAAUCAUUAAGGAACUCGGCAAAAUGACACCGUAACUGAGGGAAAAGGUGUGCCAUUCCUGCUGAUUAAUAUCAGUUUAGGAAGAGGAGACAUAAAAUGGUGUUGCACGACUGUUUAAUUAAAACACAGCACUUUGCGUAAGAUGUAAAUCAAUGUAUAGAGUGCGCUAUCUGCCCAAUGAUGGCUGGUUAACGGAUUUACUUAGGUGACUAACAUAGUUUAGGUUUUGAAGGAACCCCCAUUGAAUGGCGGCCUUAUCUAUAAGGGUCCUAAGGUAGCGAAAUACCUUGGCAUUUAAAUGAUGUCGCGCAUGAAUGAUCUAACGAUGCAACAGCUGUCUCAAUGAUUGGCUCAGUGAAACUGGAAUGGCAGUGAAGAUACUGCCUAUCUCUAGAUAGACGAGAAGACCCCAUGCAGCUUUACUGUUACUAGUUAUAGGGUAUAAUGAACAGGUUUUAGAGAAUAAGGUAGUUGCAAAGACAUAAUUGAAACACCUUUACUCUGGUUGUUAUAUCAGUAGAAUAGGUUACAGAUUUGUAACUGACGUCUGAAUGUAAUCCGUAAAAGGAGAGGCAUCCGUAGAUUCCUCUCAGGAGACAAUGGCUAGCAGAUGGUUUAUGCGGGGCACAGAUCCCAUAAAGAGUACCUGGGA
rnacentral:rRNA from 15 species